rnacentral:rRNA from 1 species
UGAAACUGGGGUUCUUGAGGGCAGGAGAGGAAAGCAGAAUUCCUGGUGUAGCGGUGAAAUGCGUAGAAAUCAGGAGGAAUACCAGUGGCGAAGGCGGCUUUCUGGACUGCCCCUGACGCUG